CAAAACCAAACUAAAUCAAAUAUUGUAGAUUUAAUCUAUAACAUAGGUGCUACAAGAUGCGUAAUGUACCGAAUUUUUAAUAUAAAAGUAUAAAUAAAAAUAGUAUAAGAUACUAUUUUUAUUUAGACUUAAAGAAGUGAAAUAUAAGUCGGAAAUGAUUUGUGCUGAAAUUGGAAUGGAAACAAAAAAUUUAGAAUAUUCUAUAAGAAACGGGGCUGAUCUUUUAGCAGAAAAUUCACAGUGUCAGAAAAUUAUGAAAAUUUGAGAAUAUGUCGGAAUUAUUUUUAUAAGAUAAGAUUUAAAGUUUCAUAU
rnacentral:lncRNA from 1 species